GUUUGGUAUUCCCAUCUCUUGAAGAAUUUCCCACAGUUUCUUGUGAUCCACACAGUCAAAGGCUUUGGCACAGUCAAUAAAGCAGAAGUAGACAUUUUUCUGGAACUCUAUUGCUUUUUUGAUGAUCCAAUGGAUGUUUGCAAUUUGAUCUCUGGUUCCUUGGCCUUUUUUUUUUUUUUUGGGAAACCUUUUAUUUCAUUCUUAACAUGCUUCAGCUGGUUCCCCCCCGCAACGCCCCGCCCGCCACAAAGCAAUUUAAGUACAGCUAUAAAGACUUAGGAGCACUUUACUUUGGAACAAUCGGUAUUUCUGGAAAACUUCUGGCUGGGUCUUUGACAUUUUCAUUUUGGAAGGUUCAACGGGAACUGUGCAAGAUUUCACGCUACAGUCUAGCUUAGUAACACGGCUGUUCUAGAAGACAACACAUUUUAAGCAUCCACAACACAACCUGCCCCGAGAGUGUUUGCUGAUUACAUUAAUGAUCUGGGUGGUUACAGAGACUUUUGUGCUCAUUUAAUCCAGUUCCUCCUCUGGUGUGCACACUGACAGACACAGGUUCUGCACACACAGACGACCGUGAGAUCUUCCUUCCCGCUUACAGCCAGGGCGGUGGUUGACGCAGGCACUGGCUAGUAAGCCUCAGGAGUCUGGUGACGCCUAGGUCUAGGGUGAUCUGGAAUGGGAAGAGUUAACGGCCCACAAGUCCCCUCACCCGCUGGCUCCAGCCACAUUCCAGAGGGACAGAGCUCAGUGACAACGGCGCCCAGGACCUGAAGUGAAGAGGAGAGCCCUCUGAGAGCCCUCUAUUCUUCGCCAUCUCUCGAAUUAAUUAACUGGAAAUGAGUCUUGUCAAUGUUUUGGAAAGGCAGAAGGGGUGAAAAGCGAUUGCUAGAAUUAAUCACAGUGAGAAACCACUUCAGCCGCCUGCCAGAGCCCAGAAAACCCCACAAGAGGAGACAAUGAAGGGAAGGACAGAGUGGACCCGAGCACUUCCAAGUCUUUGCCAAAGAAGGGACAUGUGUUCAGCGAGAGGAAUUUAUUAUCUGCGGCCACAGGAAAUCAGAGGAGCAUUCCGAAGAUUAGGACCAUCUGACCACUGUGUCACAGGCAGUUUCUCCUUCUUUCAAGAAAGGUAUUGCUGCCUAGCAAAUAGCCUGCCUGCUAAACUGUUGGUUUCCUCCAUCCCAACUCAACUUGGAACACAGGCUCCAAGGAAUUUGUAAGUCUUCUCAGUUUAAACAUGCACUUUAACUUUUGUAAGUAUAAGUGAGUUUUCCUGUUUCACAUAUACUUACACAUUUAUUUCCUAGGUUGCCUUUGUAUCAAAAAAUAUAAGUACCAUUGUUCUAGUGUAUUGAAGUUCAUCCAGUUACUAAGAAAAGAUGAAAUGUGACUCAUUUUAGCCUUUGAAUUAAUUCUAACAAAUUUUGCACAAUGACUAAUGCACACAUAUCACCCAUUCAAUAUCUCUCACAUUAUGAAUGGGCAAAAAUGAAAAUAAAUCAAUGAAUGCUUAAAAGGCA
rnacentral:lncRNA from 1 species